UUUGGCAAUGGUAGAACUCACACUGGUGAGGUAAUGGGAUCCGGUGGUUCUAGACUUGCCAACUA
ensembl:miRNA